GACGAACGCUGGCGGCGUGCUUAACACAUGCAAGUCGAACGGACAGGCCCUGCUUUUGUGGGGUGCUCGAGUGGCGCACGGGUGAGUAACACGUGAGUAACCUGCCCUUGACUUUGGGAUAACUUCAGGAAACUGCGGCUCAUACCGGAUAUGAGCUCCUGCUGCAUGUUGGUGGUUGGAAAGUUUCGGCGGUUGGGGAUGGACUCGCGGCUUAUCAGCUUGAUGGUCGGGUUGUGGCGUACAAAGGCUGUGACGGAUAGCCGGCCUGGGAGGGUGAACAGCCACAUGGGGCCUGAGGUACGGCCCAGUCUCCUACGGGAGGCAGCAGUGGGGAAUAUGGCGCAGUGGGCGGAAGCCUGAUGCAGCGACGCCGCGUGCGGGAUGACGGCCUUCGAGUUGUAAACCGCUGUCGCAGGUGACGAAGAGUGAGUGACGGUAAUGGGUAAGGAAGCACCGGCUAACUACGUG
rnacentral:rRNA from 1 species